CCUUACAAGUGACCCCGGUCUAACCACCGGGAUGUUCAUAACCCUUUGUUGUCCGACUCUGUUGCCUCCGGGGCGACCCUGCCUUCGGGCGGGGGCUCCGGGUGGACACUUCAAACUCUUGCGUAACUUUGCAGUCUGAGUAAACUUAAUUAAUAAAUUAAAACUUUUAACAACGGAUCUCUUGGUUCUGGCAUCGAUGAAGAACGCAGCGAAAUGCGAUAAGUAAUGUGAAUUGCAGAAUUCAGUGAAUCAUCGAAUCUUUGAACGCACAUUGCGCCCCCUGGUAUUCCGGGGGGCAUGCCUGUUCGAGCGUCAUUUCACCACUCAAGCCUCGCUUGGUAUUGGGCAACGCGGUCCGCCGCGUGCCUCAAAUCGACCGGCUGGGUCUUCUGUCCCCUAAGCGUUGUGGAAACUAUUCGCUAAAGGGUGUUCGGGAGGCUACGCCGUAAAACAACCCCAUUUCUAAGGUUGACCUCGGAUCAGGUAGGGAUACCCGCUGAACUUAAGCAUAUCAAUAAGCGGAGGAAAAGAAACCAACAGGGAUUGCUCUAGUAACGGCGAGUGAAGCAGCAAUAGCUCAAAUUUGAAAUCUGGCGUCUUCGACGUCCGAGUUGUAAUUUGUAGAGGAUGCUUCUGAGUAACCACCGACCUAAGUUCCUUGGAACAGGACGUCAUAGAGGGUGAGAAUCCCGUAUGCGGUCGGAAAGGUGCUCUAUACGUAGCUCCUUCGACGAGUCGAGUUGUUUGGGAAUGCAGCUCUAAAUGGGAGGUAAAUUUCUUCUAAAGCUAAAUAUUGGCCAGAGACCGAUAGCGCACAAGUAGAGUGAUCGAAAGAUGAAAAGCACUUUGGAAAGAGAGUUAAAAAGCACGUGAAAUUGUUAAAAGGGAAGGGAUUGCAACCAGACUUGCUCGCGGUGUUCCGCCGGUCUUCUGACCGGUCUACUCGCCGCGUUGCAGGCCAGCAUCGUCUGGUGCCGCUGGAUAAGACUUGAGGA
rnacentral:rRNA from 1 species